rnacentral:rRNA from 1 species
UUGCCUUAGUAACGGCGAGUGAAGCGGCAAUAGCUCAAAUUUGAAAGCUGGCGUCUUCGACGUCCGCGUUGUAAUUUGUAGAGGAUGCUUCGGCGAAGACUCCUGCCUAAGUCCCCUGGAACGGGGCGUCAUAGAGGGUGAGAAUCCCGUAUGUGGCGGGCAGUCUAAGCCAUGUGAAGCUCCUUCGACGAGUCGAGUUGUUUGGGAAUGCAGCUCUAAAUGGGAGGUAAAUUUCUUCUAAAGCUAAAUAUUGGCCAGAGACCGAUAGCGCACAAGUAGAGUGAUCGAAAGAUGAAAAGCACUUUGGAAAGAGAGUUAAAAAGUACGUGAAAUUGUUGAAAGGGAAGCGCUUGCAACCAGACUCGCUCGUAGUUGCUCAGCCGGCCUCUUGGCCGGUGUACUCUUCUACGAUCGGGCCAGCAUCAGUUCGGGCGGCAGGAUAAAGGUGUCGGGAAUGUAGCACCCUUCGGGGUGUGUUAUAGCCCGGCGCGGAAUGCUGCCAGCCUGGACUGAGGAUCUCGCUUCGGCAAGGAUGCUGGCGUAAUGGUUGUAAGCGGCCCGUCUUGAAACACGGACCAAGGAGUCUAACAUCUAUGCGAGUGUUUGGGUGUCAAACCCAUGCGCGUAAUGAAAGUGAACGGAGGUGGGAACCCCUCACGGGGUGCACCAUCGACCGAUCCUGAUGUCUUCGGAUGGAUUUGAGUAAGAGCAUAGCUGUUGGGACCCGAAAGAUGGUGAACUAUGCCUGAAUAGGGUGAAGCCAGAGGAAACUCUGGUGGAGGCUCGCAGCGGUUCUGACGUGCAAAUCGAUCGUCAAAUUUGGGUAUAGGGGCGAAAGACUAAUCG